rnacentral:antisense_RNA from 1 species
CUUCAGCGAGCCGAGCCACAGCGGGUGGUCCUCGGGCCGGUUCUGGCCGUACGUCGCGAUGACGGCCUGGGCCUC